UUACCUCUUCUGUCUUUGUACAUAUUACUUUUUAUAUGAUCAGUUUCCUUAUAAUAAUUACAGUGUAAAAGUGAAUAUUUCUAUUUCCCUAGUGAAGGGUUAAAACAUGCUUUAUGAACUCUUAUGUGUUUGCAAUGGAUGCUGCUGCCCUGUGUUAGAUGCCUUUGUCUCUCAUACAGAUACCAGGCUUGUGUGGGUCUGGCAUCCAAGGUCAGCUCUCUACUAGAUGAAACCUGCUUUUUCUACUUCUGUGUGUUACUAAAAGAUCCUUUGUUAAGUUUCGCCUGAUGCAACAUAUAUAACAUCUGCCUGGCAACUGCUAUAUCCAAUUAUGUUAUGUCAAGUAUUAACCACCCCUACGUACCCCACCCAGGCACCUACCCCUAAGCCAAUGAGCCCUUUUACACUUGUCAGUUCCACCCAUAUGCAUUGUCUUAUAUACUCUUGUUAACUUUAUAAUAAACAGUGUGAAUUUUAACUGCUUGUCUGUGCAUGUACCUUGUGGUUAAAAGUUUACACUCCAGACGUCUGUAAGGCCAUCACAUCGAGGGUUAAAGAAAAUAAGGUCAAAUCCUUUCAGCUGGGGGUUAUGUCCGGGAUUCAGUGAUCGUCCCCGAAUAAUAAAGAUAGAAGAUUUAUUGUCUGUCUUUGCUAUGCGGGAUUGCGGUCAUACACUGAAGCUGAAUCCGUGUCAGUGUUCCGGGAACACGUGACAAGGUAAUAUUUAAGUCCGGGACUUAAUAUUACGAAGUUUUUAAAACAGGUAUCAGGGAUACCAUAGAAUCUUUAAUGUCUGGGACUUAAAGAUACGUCUGAGAAGGGACCAGGGGUCCGAGCGCACUUCUCCAAAGACGUUAGUAUCUGGGAUACUUAAAAUAGACCUGGGAGUCUAUACGUAACGUAGAGAAUACCCCGAUUUGAUCGCCUAUAUAUUUUUGUAUGUUUGUAGUGAGAUAAGUUCUUAUAUUUGGUCCAGACGGCUGGUAAGUUUUCGUCUGCCAGAUAUCUUUACUCAAACACUUUUCUUGCUUCCUGUCUAAAACGCUGUAUUUUUUCUGACAUCUUGUACGAAGGUAAGCGUACCCGUCAAAAGAUUUCAUGUUCUCAUUAUACAGAUAAUAUUGUGAUAUUGUCAAUGACUAAUUAACUGGUGUUAGCUAAUGCAUGCAUAGAAAGUUUUUGUAAAUUGCAUUUUUUUUGUUGUGAAAUUUCAUAGAAAGUCUUUUUGUUGUGAAAUUGCAUAGAAGGUUUUUUUUUGUAAACUGCAUUUUUGUUGUGAUAUUGCAUAGACAGUUGUUGUGGGUUGUUGUGGAAAUUGCGUAGAAAGCUGGUGUAGAUUGCAUUUUUACUAUGGGAGGGACCUAUGUAUAAGUAGAGUGUCGUAUAUUUUAGAUAAUUUUCUUUUAAAAGUUGUACUGUUGAUUUAUAUUACUGUCUGACAAUGGGCUCUAGUCAGAGUAAAAAAACUGCAUAUCCCCCGCCCCUCCCUGGUGAGACAUGCAGGAUGUAUGUUGCCCGUAACUCUACCUCAGAGUAUUAUUUAGUUAACCCAUGGGUGGAUAAUUUAGCGGGAUGGACAGAGAAAGCAGGACGGGACCCAUUCCUACGGGAAGGCAGUAAUUACCUUUUCUAUAUGGAGAUUUAAGAAAAAAUGUCAGUUUCCAAUAGCACAGAAGCGAAGCUGCAGAGGAAUUGAACCUACACACCCCUUUAAAGUCGGAGACAGAGUCGUGGUGAAGGUGCUCCCCAGGAACAAGAGCCCAGGAGACUUCACCUAUGGUCCAGAGACAGAGGUCGUAGCAGUUACCCGAACAGCAGUCCUGACAGAGGAAAGUCCUACCUGGAUCCAUGCAUCCCGAGUAAAAAAAAAGGUUCCUAGACCAGACCUAGAGAGGGAAGCAAGUGAUUCCAGUGAGGUACGAACCGGGGCAGACAGCCCUGACCUCCCACCUAGCGAAGAAAGAAGAACAGAAGAAGAUGAGGAACCUGUCCCCUAUCUUUAUCCUGGGGACUACCUUGAUAGCCCUACUGGCCCUCACUCACCACACUUACUAACCCUACCUUUGAAGACACCCUAGCUAUUGAAACUGGUUUCUCUGACAUUAAUUUUUGGUUGGAAUGGAUGAAGUAUAGUGCUAACAAACACAAUAAAAGCAACUGUUAUGUCUGUGGCAAAUCUAGGCCCCACCUAGGUACAGUGCCCCUUAAUAUACCCCUAGAACAAGAAAAUUGUUUUUUUUUUCAGCCUUUUUAAUGACACCAAAACAAAUGACAGUCAGUGCGAAAUGUGGAAAAGGGAAUAUCCCAUAUUGUCAAAAAAUCCCAACCCAGGAAGCACCAUAACCAUAUAUCCUGGAAACUACACUUGUUAUACAUCUAACACCACAACAGGGAGAAAUUUAAAAACCUUCCCACCAGGGUAUUGUGCAAAUAAAAGAACAACUGUUUUAGUCAACCAAACUAGAUCAUUAGGCGACAUUUAUUACAUAUGUGGGAAACUGUAAAUAAAAACGUAGCCUGGAUUAAUUAUAUAUAUUAUAAUCAACAAAGAUUUGUUAAUGAUACCAAAGAUGCUCUUAAAGGUAUAGCUGAACAGCUAGAAGCCACUUCCCAAAUGACAUUCCAAAAUAGAAUGGCCCUUGACAUGAUCCUAGCAGAAAAAGGCGGUACAUGUGUUUACAUUAGUAAGGUGGAAGGCUGUUGUACAUAUAUUCCUGACAACACUGGUCCCAAUGGUAAGGUUACUUUAGCCAUAAACAAGUUAGAAACCUUAUCCAUAGAACUUAAGAAAAAUUCAGGUAUUGAUAACCCAUGGAGCCAAUAUUUUGGAUGGUUUGAAAAUUGGAAACUGGCUCUUGUGCAAAUAAGCAUAUUCAUACUUGUAACUUUAAUUCUUGUAGGCAUUAUAGUUUAUUGUGUAAUUCCCUGUGGAAAGAAACUUACCUCCAAAGGCAUUGAUAAGGCCCUGAUGUAUUAUGACAUAACCACCAGUCCUGUCACCUCCUCUGAUAGUAAGGGACCCGACGAUUAUGUCCAAUAUCUCAAGAACUGGAGAAACAAGAAAGGAGCCUCACUCAAGAAUCAUGUCAUAUAAUAAUCAUGAUUCUAAGAGGGGAUUGAAGGGUUACCUCUUCUGUCUUUGUACAUAUUACUUUUUAUAUGAUCAGUUUCCUUAUAAUAAUUACAGUGUAAAAGUGAAUAUUUCUAUUUCCCUAGUGAAGGGUUAAAACAUGCUUUAUGAACUCUUAUGUGUUUGCAAUGGAUGCUGCUGCCCUGUGUUAGAUGCCUUUGUCUCUCAUACAGAUACCAGGCUUGUGUGGGUCUGGCAUCCAAGGUCAGCUCUCUACUAGAUGAAACCUGCUUUUUCUACUUCUGUGUGUUACUAAAAGAUCCUUUGUUAAGUUUCGCCUGAUGCAACAUAUAUAACAUCUGCCUGGCAACUGCUAUAUCCAAUUAUGUUAUGUCAAGUAUUAACCACCCCUACGUACCCCACCCAGGCACCUACCCCUAAGCCAAUGAGCCCUUUUACACUUGUCAGUUCCACCCAUAUGCAUUGUCUUAUAUACUCUUGUUAACUUUAUAAUAAACAGUGUGAAUUUUAA